GCAGCUGUAGGGCAUGAAAGAUAAAUAGGUUUAUGACAAGGUGGAAGUAGUGUUGUUACACUGGUUUGUCAGUGCCAACUCCCUACGGGUCACCGACACUCAUCUGUGCCACCCAGUCCCAUUACCUGGUAUAUAUAAUAUAGCAUUCCGGUUCCCUUCUAUUCCAGACAAAGCAACGGAAAUGUCGUGGUGGUCCUGUGUCGCAAGGUUUGCCGCUUCCGCGGUACGAAGUGUUAACCGGGUAGUACGAUUUACGUACCGCACGGUGAGUCAGGUGUGGACACGUACUAGUCCUGUGUUACGAAAAGUACCUCCGGCUGUUCCUCCUACACUGCGUUUUGUAAGAGCUGGUCUUGAGGCAAGAGACGAAUGGUUUUCACCUGGUGAAACCCCAAGAGACGGAGAGACUGCAAGUCCGUCGUUGGGUGAAACAGUGAUUGCCUAUCUUAAAAAAGUGUGCAGCGCCUUGGAGUUACUUGACGCAGGUCGUGCCGUUUUGAAACUGUUUUAAAUUCUGAAUGAAAAUCUAUUGCGUUGGAUUUUAUUCGUGUUUUCCAGGUUAAUAUUUGAACUGAAGAUUGUCUUUAAAAUAACUGCAUAUUUCUUAAAAUGAAAAAAGGUUUUCAUGAGAGAAGCAUCUUCAUUCUGGGAAAGUCAUGAACUGCAAAUGUUCAUUCUACAAUAUAAAUUUAUAUGGUGGAGGACUUUGAUCAUCACAUAUUUUCUGCUUUCAUUUUACCUAUCAGUCUGGGAAGAAUCUGGUUGUCAGGGUAGUCUGUCAGAUAUUGCUUAAUAUAUUAUUUGUGAUUUUAGCUUACUAGUAUGUUUUCAGUAGCAUUAUAGAAGAGAUGUUUUCUAGAGUGCAUUUGUUUAACUGUUUCUUACAUAACUUUUACAAACAUUAUAAGCAAAUUAUAUAUUGUUACCUUCAGCAUGAGACUGUAACUCUGUAUUUUUAUUGAUCUGUACUCAAGUGAAACUAAACCUUUAACAUGAAAUCAUAACAUGAAUACUCAAGAAAGGUUACAGCUAUAAUACAGCUUAAGAUAUGUUGGAAUGAAUUCACCAUGAGUGACAGUUAUAAUGUGGAUGUUUGUGAUAUCUAAUAAACAUACCUUCAUAUUA